rnacentral:rRNA from 1 species
CGUUGGGCACUCUAGAGGGGACUGCCGGCGACAAGUCGGAGGAAGGUGGGGAUGACGUCAAAUCAUCAUGCCCCUUAUGACCUGGGCUACACACGUGCUACAAUGGGCGGUACAAAGGGCUGCGAACCCGCGAGGGGGAGCGAAUCCCAAAAAGCCGCUCUCAGUUCGGAUUGCAGGCUGCAACUCGCCUGCAUGAAGCCGGAAUCGCUAGUAAUCGCGGAUCAGCAUGCCGCGGUGAAUACGUUCCCGGGCCUU